AACGAACGCUGGCGGCAGGCCUAACACAUGCAAGUCGAGCGGACCCUUCGGGGUUAGCGGCGGACGGGUGAGUAACGCGUGGGAAUAUGCCCUUCUCUACGGAAUAGUCCUGGGAAACUGGGGGUAAUACCGUAUACGCCCUUUGGGGGAAAGAUUUAUCGGGGAAGGAUUAGCCCGCGUUGGAUUAGGUAGUUGGUGGGGUAAUGGCCUACCAAGCCGACGAUCCAUAGCUGGUUUGAGAGGAUGAUCAGCCACACUGGGACUGAGACACGGCCCAGACUCCUACGGGAGGCAGCAGUGGGGAAUCUUAGACAAUGGGGGCAACCCUGAUCUAGCCAUGCCGCGUGAGUGAUGAAGGCCUUAGGGUUGUAAAGCUCUUUCAGCUGGGAAGAUAAUGACGGUACCAGCAGAAGAAGCCCCGGCUCACUCCGUG
rnacentral:rRNA from 1 species